rnacentral:rRNA from 1 species
GACGAACGCUGGCGGCGUGCUUAACACAUGCAAGUCGAACGGAAAGGCCCUGCUUUUGUGGUGUGCUCGAGUGGCGAACGGGUGAGUAACACGUGAGUAACCUGCCCUUGACUUUGGGAUAACUUCAGGAAACUGGGGCUAAUACCGGAUAGGAUCUCCUGCUGCAUGGUGGGGGUUGGAAAGUUUCGGCGGUUGGGGAUGGACUCGCGGCUUAUCAGCUUGUUGGUGGGGUAGUGGCUUACCAAGGCUUUGACGGGUAGCCGGCCUGAGAGGGUGACCGGCCACAUUGGGACUGAGGUACGGCGCAGACUCCUACGGGAGGCAGCAGUGGGGAAUAUUGCACAAUGGGCGGAAGCGUGAUGCAGCAACGCCGCGUGCGGGAUGACGGCCUUCGGGUUGUAAACCGCUUUCGCCUGUGACGAAGCGUGAGUGACGGUAAUGGGUAAAGAAGCACCGGCUAACUACGUG